GAGAUGGAGUUUUGCUCUGUCACCCAGGCUGGAGGGCAAUGACACCACCAUAGCUCACUGGAGCCUGGAGCUCCUGGGCUCACAUGAUCCUCCCACCUCAGCCUCCCAGGUAGCUGGGACUACAGCCACACACCACUGUGGUGGGCUCACAGGUGGUGUCAGGACUGAAGUGAACUCACUGUAGGACGCCCAGCUGGUUUCCAAGAAUUGGUCGAUGUGGGAGAAACGCCCCGCUUUGGUGUCAGAAGUGUUGUGUAAGUAGAGAAAUGGUUCCCAUCAACUGAAAUUUGCUGUUCAACUUGCUUUUAGAAAUGGAGUGGAUCUGCAUAACGUAGAGAGAUCUAUCCUCACACUGGUUUGUUUAAAUGCAUCCUCACUGCAGUUGCCAGUUCCUCUUGGAAAGCAUGGCAUAUCCUAACUGUUUUCUGUUUCUCCUCCUGUAGCUCUCAGUAAAUUAUGGAGACUACUGCAAAAUUCAAUAAAUGCUCGCACCGGAAAGGACAGUGGAAAAUCCCAAACUUUUAAAGCUUGCCCAGGAAUAGGAAAGCUUUCUUCCAGGCGAUCCAAGGACCAGCCUCCGUAAGACCAGGACCCAAACUUCAGUUUGCAGUGCUGCACAUCAAAGGGAAACCAGCGUACAUCGAUGUAGCAGGAACUCUUGAAUAUGCCUGUGUGGGUGAUGGAAACAGAAGACUGAAACGGAAGCUGACUGAGAUGUGCUGAAAAUACACAGCAGUUCCUUCAGCCGGUUCCGCCCUCCGCACUGCAGCUAACACAGUCCAGAGCAAACGGAAUCUGUCUUUUUAUUUAUUCGCAAAAUCUGUAAAACAGAAUCUCAGCUAAGCUUCACUGUCUUUUAAAAUCCAAACGUAACACUGACAUGCUCUCUCAAAGACUGUUUUGUGGGCUUUUUGUGCAAAAAGUUAGCUCUAUAAUCUGCAUUUACCAUGAGCAUCUUCAGACUCUAAAUAAUAAAAGUAAAGAAUGCAAAAUAUCUCAGAGAAGUUGAUAACCCUGAUGAUGAAGUUAGAAAUAGAAUCUAAAAGGUGUGUGUGUGUGUGUGUGUGUCUGUUUGGUGCGGGGUGAGGUAGGCAUUUUCUUUAGGUUAAAAAUGGGAAGAACACAUGAUUAUCGAGAAAUACAAUCUAGAAUUCUGGUUAAAGCUAGAAUUUUAACUAAUUUAAAUUCUAGAUGAAGAACAGAACAAGCUGGGCACAGUGUCUCAUGCCCGUAAUCCCAGUGACUCUAAGACAUUGACGUGGGAGGGUCACUUGAGACUAGGAGUUUGAGACCGGACUGGGCAACAUAGUGAGACAUCUCUAAUAAAAAAAAUUAGCUGGGUGAGGUGAUGCAUGCCUGUAGUCCCAGCUACUCAGAAGGCUAAGGCAGGAGCAUUGCUUGAGCCCAGGAGUUUGAGGCUAAAGUGAAGUGAGCUAUGAUCGAGCCCCUGCACUCCAGCCUGGGGAACACACCUAGAAUCUGUCUGUAAGAAAAAAAGUUAAAACAAACAAACAAACAAACAAACAAAAACAAGAACAGAUAGAUAGGUUUAAGCUGAAGAGAUGGUGCUUGAAGGAAGAGUUUCCGCUGAAAAGAGCUAUUCCAGGCUAGGACAGGUUGGAAGUGGAUUUCCCAGAGGGCCAAGGGGAGGAAACCAGAUAGAGGCCACUCCAGUUAUUUACACUCAUGUGCUCUUCCCUGCCCAGAGGAAGGCUGCAUGGCACAAGAAGACAGGCACAGACUCGGUGUCCAGGUGUUCCUGGGGCAGGGCUGGCACUCUGCAAACUUCUGUUACUGAGUUACAGAAAGAGUGCACGCAGGAAGGGCCUCCACAGCCUUGCACACAAGGACCCCACCCCACAACCGAGUUGGGAAAAGAUACACAUUUUGUCCCCUGAAGUUCCUUUAAGUAUGCUUUGCGUCCUUACAUGAAAUGUUUAUAGGAAUCUGGAAUCAUCACAGACAAUCCCCCUCCAUUAAUAGUUGGAUCCCCCCAAAACCCACCUUGUCUGCCAGUUAGUUGGAAAGCUUUGUAACUUCAUGAGCCCAUUUCUACGAAAUAAUGGCCCGAGACAGAGAAUUUCUAGAGACAGAAAGCAGAUCAGUGGUUGCUGGGAGUAGGAAUGGGAAUUAACUGCAAACAAGCAAAAGGGAUCUUUGUGGGGUGAUGGGAAUGUUCUAAAACUAGACUGUGGUAAUGGUUGCAUAAGUCUGUAAAUAUACUAAAAGUUGUUGAAUCAUGUACUUAAAAUGCAUGAUAUGUAAAUUCUCUCUCAAUAAAGCUGUUAAAAAAUAAACACAUGAAAUGG
rnacentral:lncRNA from 10 species